AGAGCGAACGCUGGCGGCAGGCCUAACACAUGCAAGUCGAGCGCGUGUAGCAAUACACGAGCGGCAGACGGGAGAGUAACACGUGGGAACGCGCCCUUCGGUUCGGAAUAACUCAGGGAAACUUGAGCUAAUACCGGAUACGCCCUUACGGGCGAAAGAUUUAUCGCCGGAGGAUUGGCCCGCGUUCGAUUAGCUAGUUGGUGAGGUAACGGCUCACCAAGGCGAUGAUCGAUAGCUGGUCUGAGAGGAUGAUCAGCCACAUUGGGACUGAGACACGGCCCAAACUCCUACGGGAGGCAGCAGUGGGGAAUAUUGGACAAUGGGCGCAAGCCUGAUCCAGCCAUGCCGCGUGAGUGAUGACGGCCUUAGGGUUGUAAAGCUCUUUCGCUCGGGACGAUAAUGACGGUACCGAGAUAAGAACGCCCGGCUAACUUCGUGCCAGCAGCCGC
rnacentral:rRNA from 1 species